CUCCUGACACAGAAAAUCCUAGAACACACAAUGAUACAAAAAAAGUUCAAUCAGUUAAAUCUAGAAUGAGGAAGAUUCUACAUUACAAAUGAUAUAACUUCUUCAACAAAUAAAUUAUAUUUAAAAAGGUGGAUAGGGAAGAAACUGUUAACAAUUUUAAUAGCAACAACAAAAAAGUAAAGUGACAUCAUUUGGAU